UACGAAGGUCCCGAGCGUUGUUCGGAAUCACUGGGCGUAAAGGGAGCGUAGGCGGCGCGGUAAGUCAGAUGUGAAAUCCCGGGGCUCAACCCCGGGAACUGCAUCCGAUACUGCCGUGCUAGAGGAUUGGAGAGGUAGCUGGAAUUCUUGGUGUAGCAGUGAAAAUGCGUGGAGAUCAAAGAGGAACACUCGUGGCGAAAAGCGAGCUACUGG
rnacentral:rRNA from 1 species